GGGGCUAUAGCUCAGAGGUAGAGCACUUGCCUAGCAUGCGUGAGGCACUGGGUUCGAUCCUUAGCACCA
rnacentral:tRNA from 1 species